AUGUCUUUGGUUUGCUAUGGCGAUUUUUAUCGCAGUUCUUGCAUAUGGCUAAGCGAUGAGGCCAAGAAUCGGGCGGCAGUGGGUAGCUGAAGGGCCGAGCUUGCGCCGAUCGAGCGCGCGCUGCGCCUCUUUAUUUUUCUCUUGACAGACUGGGAGCACCGACCAAAGCGCUGGUGGGUGCUACAAUGUAACUACAUGGCCCAAUUCAAGCAUUGUUUUUCUGAGGAGUUAUGGCAAUAUUUUCCAUUUUCCACAACUUCAUCAUUUCGUGAAUUUCGUCAGUUUCUGCGGCGUGAAGAACCGUGAAGGGUUUCACGUUUCGUACUUAUUCUACACCACAUGGGCCAUGGACAAUCCAGUCAAGAAUGUUUUCCAUUGUGUGUUUAGUCAUUUUACCCCUUUUGUUAUCGGUUCCCAGUAAAAAUCAGAUCGAAGAGUCUCUUGCGUUUUUUCAGUUGUCAUCCGCAAUCAAUAUUCCCAUCCUGUUCGUAUAUAAAUUUUCGUUAAGUCGACGAAGUCGUCCUUUUGAUAUUACGUCUAUUUCAAUGGCCUUUAUUAGUUACUAAUGCACCGUCUAGAUUUGUUUUGAUAAAGAUUUUACUACAGUCCUCUCACUUUAUCUUCGUCCAAAUGCUCCCAGCGUGAGUACCUGUGCGGUCGAAUUUACAACCUAGUUUUCGUGCCACACAGGCCCAUGUAUUCUUGUUGACUUCCACAUUAAAUUCUUGCAUCCUCUCCUCUAUUUUAACAUUCUGCCCAUGCUGCGUCCGUGUAUAGAACUGAACGGUAUUCUUGCUGUUUAGGAGAUGCUAGUUGCCAUCAGCCACAUCGCACUUUCUUUUUGCAUCGUUUUACUUGCUCUCGUUCAUUUUCGUUCUACACAUUUCAUUUGGCUUCGCAACGCUUGCAAACUACGGUUGCAUUGCAAGAUUUUGCACUAUAUUUUGGUCUCGCAUACCGGGAGCAUGUUUUCGUAUAGAAGCUUCUGCUUCAUGUCCUAUAUUGAUCGGCGGCAGUCUUCAGUGAAGCGGUUUUUUAUUCGCAUAGCCACAUAAUUUUGGGAUUGAGCUUUCAAGUCUUGCACGUGAAGUUUGGUCUAUAAACCCAUUUUCUUUGAGCAUUCUUCACUGCCUUCGGAAUAAUGGAGUCACUCGAUGCACCUUCUUGCAAAAAUCUGUUUCGUGACUCUGCACUAGACAUUCCUUUGUUUCUUCCUCGUACGGACUGUUCAGUGUGCCCGGAGAAGCUUGAACUAUCUUUAUAAAACUUGCAGUCCAUGAAUGGUUCUCGUGGCGUCCUACGCUUCCAAAUUGGCAUCAUCGUUGGAACGUACAAAUCUACAUUCACUCCGAGCGCUUUCACUGCAAUCAUGUGUACUUAGACCGUCUGGCAGAAUCCUCGCAAAUCUUUGAAGUCAUCGGGAUUCUUGACUGGUAUUUACUUGAUCAACGCAUUCAUGGGAGUUUCCUUUAAAUGUUCAUUACCGUAUUCUUCCUUCAAAAGCUACACAGCUGUCUAGUAAUUAUCGGAGUACUGCCGCCCUUAAAUCAGUGCAGCUAGCUGCCUUGUCAUCAAAGGCAAAGUAUUGGAACUUGUGGCACAUUCUGUCGAAGACGAAUUGCGCUUUCAAACGGUCUCCACUGUCUUUGCCACAUCAACUUGUUGCCAUCAAACAUUAACAUCUUUAGGCAGUUUCACUUAACUGCCAUGAUCCGGGGACCGAUUGACUGACACUGACUGGUUACUUUCUAUUGCUGCAUUAUCGCAAUCAUUCGUCGUUUGUCAGCUUAUUUAUACUGGGCUAUCUUUCAAAUUGUAAUUGCCGUCAUGCCGUAUUCUACUUUCUAAAAUUUAUCGGACACUGUUUCCUUCAUGACGAACGUCUCCAUCUGUGAAUUUGCGGCUCGGCAACUGUUAUGCCCUUGAUUUGACUAAGGCUCGGGAUUACAGAACCUACGUCGUCUCCAUCGCUCACUUUUCUUUCUGCCUCUAAUGAGGUUCAUUAUCUCCAUCCUCAGUUUUCCCUCGUUUGCGAAACCUUUCUAUUCAUGUUCAAAAUACAGGCUUGCAUUCACAAAGUAGCGAUGGCUUCUAUUCUCUUUUGCGGUGGCUCUCGGCUCCACUCUAGCUGUCAUGCCAAUCGCAUGACAGCUAGCUUUUUUUUUUUCUUCACUGUUGUCCUUGGUGGCGAGUCAAUUGCGGAUCACAAGACACCCAGCCCACUCCUACAUAUUGAAUCUCCGGUCUACGCUCCAGAGUAGAUUACAUCGCGCACGAGCACCACCCGUUCCAGGAGCGACUGUCAUCACUUCUACAUUCUCCCGCCGAUGGCGUCCUGCUGCCAGACUCGACUGUCCUUCUCACCCUGCACUACUACUGGUUCUGAGCUCCUGUUUUGGAUUGCGGCCCACGAAGGUACCCAGCCCGCUCCUGCACGUUGACUCUCCGGUCUACGCUCCAGAGGAGAUUACAUCGCGCACGAGCACCACCCGUUCCAGGAGCGACUGUCAUCACUUCUACAUUCUCUCGCCGAUGGCGUCCUGCUGCCAGACUCGACUGUCCUUCUCACCCUGCACUACUACUGGUUCUGAGCUCCUGUUUUGGAUUGCGGCCCACAAAGAUACCCAGCCCGCUCCUGCACGUUGACUCUCCGGUCUACGCUCCAGAGGAGAUUACAUCGCGCACGAGCACCACCCGUUCCAGGAGCGACUGUCAUCACUUCUACAUUCUCUCGCCGAUGGCGUCCUGCUGUCAGACUCGACUGUCCUUCUCACCCGGCACUACUACUGGUUCUGAGCUCCUGUUUUCGAUUGGGGUCCACAAGGACACCCAGCCCGCGCCUGCAUAUUGGCUCUCCAGUCUACGCUCCAGAGUCGAUUACUUCGAGCUCCCCUCGUCCUGUGACUGACCAUGUUUGCAUUGCUACAUUCCUUCGCCGAUGGCGUUCUGCUGGUAUACUGGACCUAUCCUGGAGCCCUUGCACUUUGGUUGCGAGGGUGUUAUCGCUUGUGGCGCGAGAUAAUUGUUUCAGCACGCUCAUUUACGACAACACUCCUGGCCUGUCCUCAAGAGCGACAAUCCAGCCUGAUCGUCCUGCCGCAGACACAGCACGCUUGCUCUGACAUGUGUAAGCGUCGUACGCCUCCGUCUUGGCGGUGUCCUGCACGGUGUUGGCGGCGUGUUAACUGUUCUGAAGGACUGCUUGUCGUCACCGUCCCGCAACCGUCCAUCGGAUGUACUUUAGUUUCUGUUGCGUUUUUUUUUACCUAAACAGAUUUAAUGUUUCGUUUAGCAAGCUUUUCUGAUUUGAAAUAGUGAUACGUUGCUCAACGAAUGGAUGGCGCUUCUAGCAAUUAAAAUACGAAGCAGAACAGUAAGGUCUGGUUACGUGGACACCACCCAGUUUUCAGAAGGGUUGUUGAAGUCUUCAUGAUCAGAUCUGCAAAUUUUUGGUGGCGAGAGUAAUGGACAUUCAUCCGCAUUGCGCACUAUCGUAGUAGUACGUUGAUAGUGUGUGUGUGUGUGUGUGUGUGUGUGUGUGUGUGUGUGUGUGUGUGUGUGUGUGUGUGUGUGUGUGUGUGUGUGUGUGUGUGUGUGUGUGUUACCCGUUUGCACGCGAUUCGGUUGGUUCAUUUCUUAUGUGCACACCGUUCGCUCGAGAACAAAUCUGCGACAAAGCUUCGCUGCUCUUCGGGAUCACUUCGAAUUCGUUACAUUUCGGUAGCAUUUCCAGUGUCACCGUUGUAUCCACAAAACCCGUUGAUGGUUCACUUUUUCUCGGUUCGUCUCGGUUGAAAGGAGUCUAGUUUGAUGGUUUACUAUCAUCCAUGGACAUCUGCUUUUGGAUUGGUUGAACGACUCGUUUCUUUGGUUUUGUUUCUUGGGUUGAUCUCGGUGCUCGUUUCAGCCUUCAGCGAAUUCGUUUAGGCAUUCUUCUCAUAUCGGAAACGAGGGCUUCGUACACAUUCUCGAUUCUUCCACGUCGCUCAUCACUGGCUCAAAAGAUCAACAUACCGCUACAAAAGCGCACAAUGCCAACGAAUGGAAAAGAGGAGGGUAGUUACUCUCGCCAACAAAAAUUUCCUGAUUAGCUCAUGAUGGUAAUGACGACUAUUUUAAAAACUGGUUGGUGAUAAAUAUCGCCAUGCUCGCUGUUCCUACUUUUGAUGUGCCUGAAUCAUUAAUGAUUUUAUGGAUGGGUGACGUUACGGAUAUGAGCAUCCUCUAUGAAAUAAUGUGGUGCCCAUGCCGUGCGUUGUCUGAUUCACUUACCGACCCGUAAAAACUGCGGUUCGUAAGAUAUGUGAACCGUGGAACCUCGCAGAAAAAUGUUGCCAUCGUAGACACAGGAGUCUAAGCAGCGUACUGCUCUAUGACGAGGCAGAGUAACAUGCAUCACUGCGUGGUCUAACAUUUGUAUUGCCUGUCGUUUGUUCAUCGGACAGUGCUACCCACUGUCGCCGCUUGUUCACCUGUGCCUAAUUAGCGCCUUAGGUUGAUUAGUAUUGGUGUACAUAAUUAUAAAGUACUGUGCAAGAUUAGUAGGAACGGUGAACCGCCGUGGCGCCCUUGACGCGUCUGUGAUGUCGUUGUCUGCUAACUGUAGAGAUUACGCACUGUUCUGUCAUUUCGUGCUUGGAGUAUACCGCUUGAGCAAUUGUCAAACGACUGCUUCAAAUGGGCUGCCUGCAUUUAUUUUCCCUUAUGCCAAAUCAUGCGUAAUCGCGUCUAGACAAGAAGUGCACGAGCGCGCGCAAUGAAAUCUUUAAAGGAAUGUCCGCUUUAGUUGUAUGUUUUUAAGCGACUAGUUUACCAGUUUCCCUUCCACCUUUGCUUUACUGUACGCUGUGUUAAUACCUUUACACUGCUCUUCGAGUUUAUUUGAACGAGUUCCCUUGAAAUAGUGUUUGAAUUUGAUCAUGAUUCCGCUGUUGUCCUAAUGUCGCUUUAAGGACGCACACCUUGAGUUAUUACGUUCAGUGUUAUCAGUAACCUCUAAUAACCUUGUCUCCACAUUGCUUGAAAACUAUAUAAAAGGUGAACAAUGUAAAUGGCAAAUAAUUACCUGUACCGCUGUGAUGGGAAGUCGGGAAACCACGAAUGCGCGAUGCUGCUCAAUGUCGUGCGCAUUUUUUUUUUCUUGACCCCGAACAUGCACAAGGCUUUAUGAAGCCUUUCUGUAAAAAGUGUAUUUUUAUUUUCAUCGAUUAUAACGAUAGUCCUGCAAUUACGCCACACAAUACUGCAAAAGCUGUUUACAAUAUGAGCAGUGUGGAGAUUUGGACUUAGUCACGCAGAAAAGCUCAAAACAGCACUCGACAGUUUAUAAUACAAUAGUGAUGCACGACAUUACUGCACAUCGAGAGGCCUGUGUCAUAUGAGAGGAUGGGAUUCGGUACAUAUAGGAUCGUCGUGUAGAAAUGUUUGUCCCUUCUGUGCGUUUCACACCCAAGUGAGCAAGUUCGCAUACUUGCAUGUUUUCUCGUUUCCUAAAACAAGAAUCGGACUAACAUUCCUUCGAUCUCCAUGCGAACGUGCUGUACAACACUUGCUCGUUUAAAAAAAAUAAGUUAUAGGGUUUUACGUGCCAAAACCACGAUCUCGUAUGAGGCACGCCGUAGUGGGGGACACCGAAAAUUUGGACCACCUGGGGUUCUUUAACGUGCACCUAAAUGCGGUCGCCGUGGCCGGAAUUCGAUCCCGCGACCUUGUGCUCAGCAGCCCAACACCAUAGCCACUGAGCAACCACGGCGGGUCGUUGCUCGUUUCAGGCAGUUGUAAUAGCUUAAAACUGUAAAACAUCUCUGCUAUUCCUUGGCUUAUGCUGUUUCACUUUCAUUUGGUGUGUGUGGUACGACAACCGUGUUUUGCAUUUUUUUAUACGUUAAAGUAUCUUGAAGCUGAAAUUGUGUAUGCUAUGUACGCCCUGUUAUAUAUUUGAUGUGUUUGUAUUCAAAUGCCUAAAGGCUUAUUCCCAUUCUGUAUAUUAAAUGCAUUGUACGGUGCUCUCUGCAGCAUGGUGAAUUCCAGUCAGGGUGGCAUUGAGUCGCUUUCAGUUUUAUUUACUUGAGUCUUCUUUUGCGCCGAUUGUAUUGAACAUGCAUUGCAUUAAACUGCACCUUGC
rnacentral:lncRNA from 1 species